AUUGAACGCUGGCGGCAGGCCUAACACAUGCAAGUCGAACGAGUGGCGGACGGGUGAGUAAUGUCUGGGAAACUGCCCGAUGGAGGGGGAUAACUACUGGAAACGGUAGCUAAUACCGCAUACCAUCGGAUGUGCACAGAUGGGAUUAGCUAGUAGGUGGGGUAAUGGCUCACCUAGGCGACGAUCCCUAGCUGGUCUGAGAGGAUGACCAGCAACACUGUGACUGAGACACGGUCCAGACUCCUACGUGAGGCAGCAGGGGUGAAUAUUGCACAAGGGGCGCAAGCCUUAUGCAGCCAUGCCGGGUGUAUGAAGAAGGCCUUCGGGUUGUAAAGUACUUUCAGCGAGGAGGCGUUACUCGCAGAAGAAGCACCGGCUAACUCCGUGCCAGCAGCCGCGGUAAUUC
rnacentral:rRNA from 1 species